GAAAGCUCUCACACUGACCAAUAGAAAUUUUAAAUUAAUUUUAAAAGCAACUAAAGGCUUCCUACAUGUAGAAAGAAAGGCUGAAAAUGAAGACGAAGAUUUAAGAGAAGAGAUACUUUGCACUUUGGGCACUUCAGCUGGUGGUUAAGGAGCAUGUUUAUAUCUGGUGGCUUGACAUUUAUGAGCUCCUAAAGGCAAAGAGGGUACACUCCCUACUGUCUUGUAAAAUGGGCCAAGUAAAGAGGAUUCCAGGAUUACGCAAGGGAGAACCCACUAAAUGAAUAAAUUAUGGCCUCAAUGACCAUGUGAAGUAGACUAUAUUACACGCUUCCUCCAGCCACAUUCUGGCAUGAGGUAAGUUGGGAGGGAAUGUGUUCUAUGUUAAGCCAUUAAAGCUUUCAAGUCAUUUCCUAU
rnacentral:lncRNA from 1 species